GUGCUCGCUUUAGCAGCACAUAUAUAAAAUUGGAAUGGUAAAGAGAAGAUUAACGUGGCCCCUGCACAAGCAUGAUACACAAAUUUGUGAAGUGUUCCCCAAAAAA
rnacentral:snRNA from 1 species